rnacentral:rRNA from 1 species
GGCCUUCAAUCAUGUAGGACUACCCGGUGAACUUAAGCAUUUAUG